GAAAUAUAAAAUUUAAAGGAAAGCUUCUAACUUAUCCUCUUAGCCGCGAAACUCGGUUAAUAUUUCU
rnacentral:tRNA from 1 species